UAUAUAAAGACUCGCUAAAUAAACAUUUAGUUAAACUAACAUUAGGAAAAUUCUGGUUCAAACGGGCCGUAUAAAAGUAGUAUUGUUUAGCUCAAACGGGUCUUCAAAAUUGGUCAAAACGGGUCCUGCCUAUUACUAUGUACCUUUAAUAUUCCACCGAAAUUCUUCAGUAUUUUUCUACUUGUAUACAUAAUGUAAUAAUUAUUAAAACCUACUUUUUU